rnacentral:rRNA from 1 species
GUGGGGAAUUUUGGACAAUGGGGGAAACCCUGAUCCAGCCAUGCCGCGUGUGUGAAGAAGGCCUUCGGGUUGUAAAGCACUUUCGGACGGAACGAAAUCGCGCGUGCGAACACCACGCGUGGAUGACGGUACCGUAAGAAGAAGCACCGGCUAACUACGUGCCAGCAGCCGCGGUAAUACGUAGGGUGCGAGCGUUAAUCGGAAUUACUGGGCGUAAAGCGUGCGCAGGCGGCGCUGCAAGUCAGGCGUGAAAGCCCCGAGCUCAACUUGGGAAUUGCGCUUGAAACUACGGUGCUGGAGUGUGGCAGAGGGAGGUGGAAUUCCACGUGUAGCGGUGAAAUGCGUAGAGAUGUGGAGGAACACCGAUGGCGAAGGCAGCCUCCUGGGCCAACACUGACGCUCAUGCACGAAAGCGUGGGGAGCAAACAGGAUUAGAUACCCGAGUAGUCC